UGGAGAGUUUGAUCCUGGCUCAGGACGAACGCUGGCCGGCGUGCUUAACACAUGCAAGUCGAACGGAAAGGCCCCUUCGGGGGUACUCGAGUGGCGAACGGGUGAGUAACACGUGGGUGAUCUGCCCUGCACUUUGGGAUAAGCCUGGGAAACUGGGUCUAAUACCGAAUAGGACCGCAUGCUUCAUGGUGUGUGGUGGAAAGCUUUUGCGGUGUGGGAUGGGCCCGCGGCCUAUCAGCUUGUUGGUGGGGUAAUGGCCUACCAAGGCGACGACGGGUAGCCGGCCUGAGAGGGUGUCCGGCCACACUGGGACUGAGAUACGGCCCAGACUCCUACGGGAGGCAGCAGUGGGGAAUAUUGCACAAUGGGCGCAAGCCUGAUGCAGCGACGCCGCGUGGGGGAUGACGGCCUUCGGGUUGUAAACCUCUUUCAGUAUCGGCGAAGCUCCAGGAUUUUUCUUGGGGUGACGGUAGGUACAGAAGAAGCACCGGCCAACUACGUGCCAGCAGCCGCGGUA
rnacentral:rRNA from 1 species